rnacentral:lncRNA from 1 species
GUGGCUAGAAUCCUAACAGGAGUCAGUUUAGGACUUUUAAAAUUAAGGGGCCUAAUAGCCUGUGGGUAGGCAGUAGCGAUUGAGAGGGGCUAGCAAUGGUCAGAGAGUCUUCUUAAAGAUUUUGAGAGCAUUAUAAGAAUUUCUUUUGUACUUCUUGUUGAGAGAGAAAUUGAUGUAUGAGAGUUGAAAAGGUGUGAUCUCUUUUUGUAUUUGUUCUUUCUUUCAUAGUGAAGCUU